AGCUCUGCAGUUUUAGAAAACGCCAGAUUGCAAAUCUGGAGAAGUAGGCUAACGCCUACCGGGGCUU
rnacentral:tRNA from 1 species